rnacentral:rRNA from 1 species
GUUACUGCUAUCGAGGUUCGACUAAGCCAUGCGAGUCGAAUGUAGCAAUACAUGGCGUACUGCUCAGUAACACGUGGAUAACCUACCCUUGAGUUGGGAAUAAACCCGGGAAACUGGGUAUAAUACCCGAUAGAUCUCGACUGCUGGAAUGCAUCGAGAUCCAAAGCUCCGGCGCUCAAGGAUGGAUCUGCGGCCUAUCAGGUAGUAGUGGGUGUAGCGUACCUACUAGCCUACGACGGGUACGGGUUGUGAGAGCAAGAGCCCGGAGAUGGAUUCUGAGACACGAAUCCAGGCCCUACGGGGUGCAGCAGGCGCGAAAACUUUACAAUGCUGGAAACAGCGAUAAGGGGACCUCGAGUGCAGGUACAAUCUGCUGUCGUAUGCUAAAACAUUCAUACAAGGCCGGCAAGCCGGUCCACCGCCGCGGUACACGGCGCUCGAGUGGUACCGUUAUUAUUGGUCUAAGGUCUGUACCGGCCGGAUAAGUCUCUUGGAAAUCUGCAGCUUACUGUCAGGCUUUCAGAGAUACUGUCUGGCUGAGCCGGAAAGGUAGAGGUACUUCAGGGGUAGGGGUAAAUCUUGUAAUCCUUAAGGACCACCAGUGCGAAGGCGUCUCACCAGAACGGACCUGACGGCAAGGGACGAAAGCUAGGGGCACGAACCGGAUUAGAUACCCGGGUAGUCCUAGCCGUAAACGAUACUCGCUAGGUGUCGCAACGGUGCGACCGUUGUCGGUGCCGUAGGGAAGCCGUGAAGCGAGCCACCUGGGAAGUACGGCCGCAAGGCUGAAACUUAAAGGAAUUGCGGGGGAGCACCACAACGGGUGGAGCUUGCGGUUUAAUUGGAUUCAGCGCCGGAAAUCUUACCGGGACCGACAGCAAUAUGAAGGCCAGGCUGAAGACUUUGCCGGAUUAGCUGAGAGGUGGUGCAUGGCCGUCGUCAGUUCGUACUGUGAAGCAUCCUGUUAAGUCAGG